rnacentral:rRNA from 1 species
AACGCGAAGAACCUUACCCAGGCUUGAACAGCGAGUGACCACUCCUGAAAGGGAGCUUCCGCAAGGACACCCGUAGAGGUGCUGCAUGGCUGUCGUCAGCUCGUGUCGUGAGAUGUUGGGUUAAGUCCCGCAACGAGCGCAACCCUUGUCUUCUGUUGCCAUCAGGUUAUGCUGGGCACUCUGGAGAGACUGCCGGUGAUAAACCGGAGGAAGGUGGGGAUGACGUCAAGUCAGCAUGGCCUUUAUGUCUGGGGCUACACACGUGCUACAAUGGCCGGCACAAACCGUCGCGAGCCCGCGAGGGGGAGCUAAUCGGAUAAAGUCGGUCUCAGUUCGGAUCGUAGGCUGCAACUCGCCUGCGUGAAGUUGGAAUCGCUAGUAAUCGCGGAUCAGCACGCCGCGGGAAUACGUUCCCGGGUCUGUCACCGAAGG